GCAGUACGGUUAGGGUUACCAACUGCAGGAUGCUUGUAUGGAAAGUAUCUGGCAGUGGGUCAGAGCAGAACUUGGAUAACAGUGGCAAAUCGUGAGUUAAUACAUGCAAAAUGCUGGAACCUCGUCGAACCAAUCAUCGUCCGUAACGCUUGAGUUGAAAUCUGGACAUUUUUGUUGAUCGCAAGGACUCGCACCGGCUACAGAUCUGCAGCUAGUGAUGGUAGUAGACAGAACUAAAAUGGUUGCAACGGGUAACGGGGAAUCAGGGUUCAUUCCGGAGAGGGAGCCUGCGAAAUUGCUACCACAUCCAAGGAAGGCAGC
rnacentral:ncRNA from 2 species